rnacentral:tRNA from 2 species
GCAGUUGUGGCCGAGUGGUUAAGGUGAUGGACUAGAAAUCCAUUGGGGUCUCCCCGCACAGGUUUGAAUCCUGUCGACUGCG